CUAGCAGGUUGUGCCACACUCCCUUGUGACUGCGUACCCUGUACUCUCAACCCAUGGCUAGACUGGAAAUUCUGAAACCACCGAUCAACUGGAGAUCUAGGUGCGGAGGCACUGGCUGCAGGCUGAGCAGUACUCCAGAACUUUUUCUUCGACCACUUGUUACCUCAAUUACCUUUUUGGUGCUGAUUGUAGUUCUAGUCUACUGGUCUAGCCCUCUUGGCCUGUCUAUCUUUCUCCAUUACUUUAGCAACCCUCUUUUUCUGAUCCUCGACCUACUUCAUAAGGACUGAUAAUCUGGAGAAGUCUAUAUCUCUGUUCAAUAUCGCCUCUUUGCACUCUAACACCAAGUCAUCCGAAAGAUCGGAUGCAAACUUCCUCAUAUGGGCUCUCAUGUUCCCUGCUAAUUUCAAAGCAUAACGGGAUAGUUGAUUAUAUUUCAAGGUGUUGACGUUCAUCUUUCCUUGUUUCAAGUUCACAAACUCUUCAGCCAUGGACUCCCUUAAUUUUUGGGGAAAGAAUUGGUCCAGGAAAGCU
rnacentral:lncRNA from 1 species